GUUUAUUGGGAGGAGCUCUCUGCUGCCCCAGGAAUGGGCUGAUUUCCUGAGUACACAUUAAUCUGAGCUCCCUCAGCCCUAGGGGUAGGGGGAUUGGGGGCACAAGAUGGGUGGAGCCAGAUAGGGAAGAUUCCCCCAGUGUUGUCCUGCUCCCAGUCCAGGUUUGGGACAAUGCCGGCAGCGUUUCCCUGUGUCUUUCCCCCACAAAGUCUCCAAGUCUUUCCUCAAAUGAUCGUCAAGGUUUGGGAGAAACAAUCUCUUCCUCUGCCCGGGUUGCGUGGAUCUCCAGUGGAAAGGAAGAACCGGAACUAUGGUUUGUGCCUGCCUUAUUGCCUCCAAAAUAUUUUUAACUGCAGAGAUACUGCAUGACAUUGAAACAGCCGGUGUAUUAACUAAUGUAUAUGACAGUCCACCUCUGUAUGAUGAUGUGAAAGUGCAAUUUUUCUCUUCAGCUUUAUCUACCAAGAAAUGAAUUGGAUAAUCCACAUAAACAAAAAGCUUGGAAAAUUUAUCCACCAGAAUUUGCCGUGGAGAUACUUUUUGGGAACGGGUCACGCAUGUGGAUGAUCAAAGGUCAGCUCCUGGUCAAUAUGAGAAGACUGGUUUCAGAAAAGUUGAGUGCUGAAGACUACAAAGCUGUUUGUAAGUUAUCAAGCUAGGAUUUGAUCCCAGGUCUGCCUGAUAAAUCCUGGACUCUUAACCAUGACAUAGGAGUGCCCUCUUGACUCCUAUGAUGGCAUAAAGAAUUGUAUCAGAACGGGUAAUCUGGCAUUAAAACCCCUGUGCCACAA
rnacentral:lncRNA from 1 species